rnacentral:ncRNA from 1 species
UUGACUGGGGCGGUACACCUGUCAAACGGUAACGCAGGUGUCCUAAGGUGAGCUCAGGAAGGACAGAAACCUCCCGUGGAGCAGAAGGGCAAAAGCUCGCUUGAUCUUGAUUUUCAGUACAAAUACAGACCGUGAAAGCAGGGCCUCAGGAUCCUUUUUUUUUUUUAAGAAAAAUUUAAUUUAAAAAAAAAAAAAAAAAAAACACUACUGGGGGGCAGAGAAGAG